CUUGGUGGAACUGCUGUUGGUUGUGGAGAUAAGCCAAAUAUUACUUUGCUACAGUGUCUUACCAGUGUGUAAAAAGGCGCUAUGAGAAGACAUUUCAAAUAAAGUAAAUGCAGUUUGGGCACUAGAAGUCACUGAGAUCAAGAAGUGGUGCUACUAUUUCAGAAGGUGAACCAAAGCCAAGCUUGUCACUGGCUGCAGCCCCUCUGAGGAAGGGACACUCACUCUGUUGGAGGAACAGGCUCAUGAGAUCCUGAGUGUGGUGCAGGUGGAAGGCCAGGUGGGUGGAAUCAAUACCCUGGUGGACAGCUUAGCCAGUAUGUCUACAUCCCAGUCAACAUUUGCUUCUGGAAGAGGUGUUGGUGGGCCAGCAGGGGGCAAUCUUCCCUCUGGUACAAAUUUUUUUAAAAACCCCAAUGCCCCAGUGCAGUGACAGGGACACUGUGCUGUAGGAGAUGCUGUCUUUCGGAUGAGACGUUGAACCGAGGUCCUCACUCUCUGUGGUCAUUAAAGAUCCCAUGACACUUAUCGCUAAGAGUAGGGGGUUCCCCGGUGUCCUGGCCAAAUCCCAGAUCUGGCACUCGCAAACGUGGCACUAAAAAUCAUCCCCAGAUUUAAUUGGCUAAAUAAAUGUUCUCUCCCGCUCCACCUUCGCUAAUGUGUGGUGAGCGUUCUGGCGCAAAAUGGCUGCCGUGCAUCACCCAGGUGGGUGCUACACAUUAGUGGUGUGUGAGAUGUGUCACCUGUUCCCGAGUCAGUGUUGGCACCCAUGCUGGCCUUAGUGGUUAAUACUUAAUACUGAUUGAGAUGUCCUCUGAACCUACUACUGGACCAGCUAUCUAUAAAAAUCCUCCAAAAGAUGGACCAGCUGCUGCUGCCGGAGAUGCAUGCUCAAAAUUAACUACUGAGGACUCAGAACUUCAGAAUCAGUCUAGCUUAACUUGUUAAUGUUCUGCCCGGCAUUCCAAUAACAAUGACAGAACAAAGCCUACUUCAUACUUAUCCUGUCACGGACAGGGAGUUGCCACCCUCACAGUCAGAAAAGAGAAAUAUCCUUUGCCUCUUGGUGAGAGCAAGAUUGCCUUGUAUUUAGUUUGUCGAUAUUCAUUUGUCAUUGUAGGUUAUGAGCAAAAUUGAUUUCAUUUGUCACUACUGUGUAAAAAAUAUUGUUAGUAUGUAUUUAUUUAUAUUUUUUACAAGAGCUCUUCCAAUACUCACAUAUUUUUCCAGUUCUUCAUUAUUAAUGUUAAAUUGGUAGGUCUCAAAGUUAAACAUGAUUUCUCUUUUCAGACAGACAAUUGCCUGCAAGUGCUGAAUGAAGAUAUAUGUGUCAUUCAAAAGUGCUAGAGGAUCAAGAUAGAAGGAUACAUGUGAUAAGAGCAAUCCUAGAUUGGGAGUACCAUGUAGAGAUGUGUCAGGGAUGUAGAAAAUGGGCAGGGAUCCAGUGGUUAGUAGAGGAAUGGGCAGUUUGUUCCACCAACGGGGAGCUAAGGUGGUGUAAGGACUGGUCACCAUUUUGGAUAAACAGGUCAUACUGAUGUCACAAAUUACAUGAUCACGGUCGGAGAAACUGGUCACAUGGCCUAGGUACAUUCAGUACAAUAAAUAUGCGUACUCAUCGCAUUCAUUUUCUGUUCUAAUCUGAUCGCCAGGCUGGCUAGACGUGUGGAAAGCAUGGUUUCUAUGGUCACAGGCCUGAAGAGAAGGUCUAUAAAGGAAGACAUGUAGAGAAGCACAGGUCUCUACCCGGUUAUAGUAACGACCAGCAGUUUUUAAGCCUAGGUAAACAUUUACAUUUACAUGACUAUACUGCACGUAAGAUUAAAAAAACUCAUCCACGAGAGAUCAAUUUACUAACUUUACAUGGGAGCUGCUCAAUGGUGGAUUAAACCAAUUCAUGGAGGCUGCCAUGUUUGAUUAUGGGCUUUAGACACAAGAGUGUGAGCACUGGGUACCUAAACAUGAAGGGUCAUGGUAAAUGCAAAGCAAUGAAAGCAAUAAAAGGUUUCAAAUCGA